GGAGAGAUGCCAGAGUGGUUGAAUGGGACGGUCUCGAAAACCGUUGUGCGGGUAACCGUACCGAGGGUUCGAAUCCCUCUCUCUCCG
rnacentral:tRNA from 1 species